GACGAACGCUGGCGGCGUGCCUAAUACAUGCAAGUCGAACGCUUCUUUCCUCCCGAGUGCUUGCCCUCAAUUGGAAAGAGGAGUGGCGGACGGGUGAGUAACACGUGGGUAACCUACCCAUCAGAGGGGGAUAACACUUGGAAACAGGUGCUACUACCGCAUAACAGUUUAUGCCGCAUGGCAUAAGAGUGAAAGGCGCUUUCGGGUGUCGCUGAUGGAUGGACCCGCGGUGCAUUAGCUAGUUGGUGAGGUAACGGCUCACCAAGGCCACGAUGCAUAGCCGACCUGAGAGGGUGAUCGGCGACACUGGGACUGAGACGCGGCACAGACUCCUACGGGAGGCAGCAGUAGGGAAUCUUCGGCAAUGGACGAAAGUCUGACCGAGCAACGCCGCGUGAGUGAAGAAGGUUUUCGGAUCGUAAAACUCUGUUGUUAGAGAAGAACAAGGACGUUAGUAACUGAACGUCCCCUGACGGUAUCUAACCAGAAAGCCACGGCUAACUACGUG
rnacentral:rRNA from 1 species